GACGAACGCUGGCGGCGUGCUUAACACAUGCAAGUCGAACGGAAAGGCCCUGCUUUUGUGGGGUGCUCGAGUGGCGAACGGGUGAGUAACACGUGAGUAACCUGCCCUUGACUUUGGGAUAACUUCAGGAAACUGGGGCUAAUACCGGAUAGGAGCUCCUGCUGCAUGGUGGGGGUUGGAAAGUUUCGGCGGUUGGGGCUGGACUCGCGGCUUAUCAGCUUGUUGGUGGGGUAGUGGCUUACCAAGGCUUUGACGGGUAGCCGGCCUGAGAGGGUGACCGGCCACAUUGGGACUGAGAGACGGCCCAGACGCCUACGGGAGGCAGCAGUGGGGAAUAUUGCACAAUGGGCGGAAGCCUGAUGCAGCAACGCCGCGUGCGGGAUGACGGCCUUCGGGUUGUAAACCGCUUUCGCCUGUGACGAAGCGUGAGUGACGGUAAUGGGUAAAGAAGCACCGGCUAACUACGUG
rnacentral:rRNA from 1 species